rnacentral:rRNA from 1 species
GAUGAACGCUGACAGAAUGCUUAACACAUGCAAGUCGAUUCAAGUUACCUUCGGGUAAUGAGGAUGGCGGACGGGUGAGUAACGCGUAAGGAACUUGCCUCUUGGUCUGGGACAACUGUUGGAAACGACAGCUAAUACCGGAUAUUAUGAGAUUCUCGCAUGGGAAACUUAUGAAAGCUAUAUGCGCCAAGAGAGAGCCUUGCGUUCCAUUAGCUAGUUGGUGGGGUAACGGCCCACCAAGGCGACGAUGGAUAGCCGGCCUGAGAGGGUGAACGGCCACAAGGGGACUGAGACACGGCCCUUACUCCUACGGGAGGCAGCAGUGGGGAAUAUUGGACAAUGGNNNNNNAGUCUGAUCCAGCAAUUCUGUGUGCACGAUGAAGGUCUUCGGAUUGUAAAGUGCUUUCAGUUGGGAAGAAGCAAGUGACGGUACCAACAGAAGAAGCGACGGCUAAAUACGUGCCAGCAGCCGCGGUAAUACGUAUGUCGCAAGCGUUAUCCGGAUUUAUUGGGCGUAAAGCGCGUCUAGGCGGAAAAAUAAGUCUGAUGUUAAAAUGCGGGGCUCAACUCCGUAUUGCGUUGGAAACUGUUUUUCUAGAGUACUGGAGANGUGGGCGGAACUACAAGUGUAGAGGUGAAAUUCGUAGAUAUUUGUAGGAAUGCCNAUGGAGAAGUCAGCUCACUGGACAGA